UAAGGAAUAUUGGACAAUGGUCGAAAGACUGAUCCAGCCAUGCCGCGUGCAGGAUGAAGGCCCUCUGGGUCGUAAACUGCUUUUAUAUGGGAAAAAACGCUUGUUCGUGAACGAGCCUGAUGGUACCAUAUGAAUAAGCAUCGGCUAACUUCGUGCCAGCAGCCGCGGUAAUACGAAGGAUGCAAGCGUUAUCCGGAUUUAUUGGGUUUAAAGGGUGCGUAGGCGGGCUAAUAAGUCAGUGGUGAAAGCUCACGGCUCAACCGUGAAAUUGCCAUUGAUACUGUUAGUCUUGAGUAUGGUUGAAGUUGGCGGAAUGUGCAGUGUAGCGGUGAAAUGCUUAGAUAUUGCACAGAACACCGAUUGCGAAGGCAGCUAGCUAAGCCAUAACUGACGCUGAGGCACGAAAGCAUGGGGAUCAAACAGG
rnacentral:rRNA from 1 species